CAGGGUCAGGGCAGGCAGAGGUCAGUAAUCCAGGGCAGUGUCAGAAAGGUACAGAACGGCAGGCAGGCUCAGGGUCAGGGCAGGCAGAGGUCAGUAAUCCAGGGCAGAGUCAGAAAGGUACAGAACGGCAGGCAGGCUCAGGGUCAGGGCAGGCAGAGGUCAGUAAUCCAGGGCAGAGUCAGAAAGGUACAGAACGGCAGGCAGGCUCAGGGUCAGGGCAGGCAGAGGUCAGUAAUCCAGGGCAGUGUCAGAAAGGUACAGAACGGCAGGCAGGCUCAGGGUCAGGGCAGGCAGAAUGGUCAAACCUGGGAAGACUAGGAAGAACAAAAACUAGAGCACAGAAAACACGGGAAUACACUGGUAGGACUUGAUGGGACAAGACGAACUGGCAACAGACAAACCGAAAACGCAGGUAUAAAUACACAGGAGAUAAU
rnacentral:lncRNA from 1 species